GGGGAUAGCCUUCCGAAAGGAAGAUUAAUACCGCAUAACAUAAGAGAAUCGCAUGAUUUUCUUAUCAAAGAUUUAUUGCUUUGAGAUGGACCCGCGCACGCAUUAACUAGUUGGUAAGGUAACGGCUUACCAAGGCAACGAUGCAUUAGCCGACCUGAGAGGGUGAUCAGCCACAUUGGAACUGAGACACCGUCCACACUCCUACGGNAGGCAGCAGUGGGGAAUAUUGCGCAAUGGGGGAAACCCUGACGCAGCAACGCCGCGUGGGUGAUGAAGGUCUUCGGAUUGUAAAGCCCUGUUUUCUGGGACGAUAAUGACGGUACCAGAGGAGGAANCCACGGCUAACUACGUGCCAGCANCCGCGGUAAUACGUAGGUGGCNAGCGUUGUCCGGAUUUACUGGGCGUAAAGGGUGCGUACGCAGAUGUUUAAGUGGGAUGUGAAAUCCCCGGGCUUAACCUGGGGGCUGCAUUCCAAACUGGAUAUCUAGAGUGCAGGAGAGGAAAGCGGAAUUCCUAGUGUAGCGGUGAAAUGCGUAGAGAUUAGGAAGAACACCAGUGGCGAAGGCGGCUUUCUGGACUGUAACUGACGCUGAGGCACGAAAGCGUGGGUAGCAAACAGGAUUAGAUACCCUGGUAGUCCACGCCGUAAACGAUGGAUACUAGGUGUAGGGGGUAUCAACUCCCCCUGUGCCGCACUUAACACAAUAAGUAUCCCGCCUGGGGAGUACGGUCGCAAGAUUAAAACUCAAAGGAAUUGACGGGGGCCCGCACAAGCAGCGGAGCAUGUGGUUUAAUUCGAAGCAACGCGAAGAACCUUACCUGGACUUGACAUCCCUUGCAUAGCCUAGAGAUAGGUGAAGCCCUUCGGGGCAAGGAGACAGGUGGUGCAUGGUUGUCGUCAGCUCGUGUCGUGAGAUGUUAGGUUAAGUCCUGCAACGAGCGCAACCCUUGUUAUUAGUUGCUACCAUUAAGUUGAGCACUCUAAUGAGACUGCCUGGGUAACCAGGAGGAAGGUGGGGAUGACGUCAAAUCAUCAUGCCCCUUAUGUCCAGGGCUACACACGUGCUACAAUGGUAGGUACAAUAAGACGCAAGACCGUGAGGUGGAGCAAAACUUAUAAAACCUAUCUCAGUUCGGAUUGUAGGCUGCAACUCCCCUACAUGAAGCUGGAGUUGCUAGUAAUCGCGAAUCAGAAUGUCGCGGUGAAUAACGUUUCCCGGGCCUUGUAACAACU
rnacentral:rRNA from 1 species